GCCGAUCCCACCUCCCCAAAAUUGAAUCCCAAUGAAGAUUCCUGCCAGACAAAAGCUGCCAGCACAGAAAGCUCUUGCUGCCCAACAAGUGCCCAGGCUGCCCCAACAACUGCACCUGAAGCCAAAGGAUCCAGACUUUCUUUCCUAAGGGAAAGGGCUGCUAAUUCCCUUUUUUUAGCCGUCCUGCAUAGGCCAAACUAACUUCC